AUUGAACGCUGGCGGCAGGCCUAACACAUGCAAGUCGAGCGGCGCGGCAGACGGGUGAGUAAAGCCUAGGAAUCUGCCUGGUAGUGGGGGAUAACGUCAGGAAACGGGCGCUAAUACCGCAUACUAUCAGAAGAGCUUAGGUCGGAUUAGCUAGUUGGUGGGGUAAAGGCCUACCAAGGCGACGAUCCGGAACUGGGCUGAGAGGCUGAUCAGUCACAGUGGAACGGAGACACGGUCCGGACUCCUACGGGAGGCAGAAGUGGGGAAUAUUGGACAAUGGGCGAAAGCCUGAUCCAGACAUGCCGCGUGAGUGAAGAAGGUCUUCGGAUUGUAAAGCACUUUAAGUUGGGAGGCGUUACCAACAGAAUAAGCACCGGCUAACUUCGUGCCAGCAGCCGCGGUAAUUC
rnacentral:rRNA from 1 species